GCAGGCCCAGGUCCACUCCCCAGCUGUGAAAGGAGGAGCUCUACGGUGACUUUGAAGACUUGGAAACAGGGGACAUGCACAAGGGAAAAUCGGGCCCCGACACUCAGAAUGAAGAUAUAGAGAAACAAGGAAGAAAUUGACCCCGACGAAGAAGAAAGUGCCAAGAAAAAGCAUUUGGAUAAGAAGAGAAAAUUGAAGGAGAUGUUUGAUGCGGAAUAUGAUGAAGGAGAAAGCACAUAUUUUGAUGAUCUUAAAGGAGAAAUGCAGAAAGAAGCACAGGAGAAUGGGAGCAGAGGAACUGGAGGCUGCAACUGUGGAAAACUUUUGUGGGGUUUUGCUGCAGAGAGAAGCAGAGAAAUGAAGCAGUUUUUGGUGGAAGAAGUGGAAUCAAAAGGUUUUGAGCUGAAUCACGUAGAAUUUGAAGAUCAAGAUGAUGAAGCCAGAGUUCAGUAUGAUGGUUUUCGACCUGGGAUGUACGUCCGCGUUGAGAUUGAAAAUGUUCCCUGUGAAUUUGUGCAGAACUUUGACCCCCAUUACCCCAUUAUCCUGGGUGGCUUGGGCAACAGCGAGGGAAAUGUUGGACACGUGCAGAUGCGUCUGAAGAAACAUCGCUGGUAUAAGAAAAUCCUCAAGUCCCAAGAUCCAAUCAUAUUUUCUGUAGGGUGGAGGAGGUUUCAGACCAUCCUGCUCUAUUAUAUUGAAGACCACAAUGGAAGACAAAGGCUUCUAAAGUAUACCCCACAGCACAUGCAUUGUGGAGCAGCCUUUUGGGGGAACUGGUUUCUUGGCAAUACAGUCUGUCAGUGGCAUAAUGCCUGAUUUUCGGAUAGCUGCCACAGGAGUUGUCCUUGAUCUGGAUAAAUCCAUAAAAAUUGUGAAGAAAUUAAAGCUAACUGGUUUUCCAUAUAAAAUUUUCAAGAACACUUCAUUUAUUAAGAUAUUGUCUUCAUGCGAACUUGGUAUCCUGUUUCCAUCCCAGCCUUCUAUAACCCAGUAACAUCUUUGUUGAAACCAGUGGGUGAGAAAGACACCUGGUCAGGAAUGUGGACCACGGGCCACCUCGGGCUCGCCCAUGGUGUCAGACUAAAGACAAACAAGGACUCUCUGUAUAAGGUACUGGUCGUGUGUGUGUUAGUGGAGAUGAAGCCUGUGCCCUACAGACAGGGAGUCACGCAGACACUUUUCUAUAAUUUCUUACGUACUUUGAAUGUUCAAGUAUAAAGUCUAAUGUUAAAUUUGAUUGAACAAUUGUAUAUUUGUGGGAUAUUUUGGAAUGGAACACCAAAAAAUGGUAAUAGUGGUUCUUUCUGGAUUGAAGACAAACUUUUCUUUUUUAAAAUAAAUUUUAUUUUAUAUAUUU
rnacentral:lncRNA from 1 species